ACAUAUAAAAAUAGAGUUGUGAUUUGUAAAUCCUGAUCUUUUAAUAUUUUUUAAUUCUUUUUCAUAUUUUUAUCACAAUUUUUUUUGAAGAAUAAUUUGAUAUCAAUAAAAUACAGAGUAGUAACACUCAUAAGACAAAAUUAAUUUAUAUUUAUUUUCUUUAGAGUUUUUAUAAUCUAUGGUGAAAAAGAGAAAAUACCCAAUUGAAAUCGGCAACUUAAAUCAAACACACACUUAAUUUAUUUAAAAAUUAUUAGGAGCUACUAAUAUAUAUUCGUAUCUCCUAAGCUUGGCGUAUGGCUAAUUUAAUUGAUGCCAACAUUCAGGAACAAUUUAUUAAACUAAUAUUAUAGCAAAAAAAUGUUACUUGUUUUUAUGUACGUGUACGAACACGUAUGUGAGUGGUCGACAAGGACAACAUAUUAAUACUAUAAAUUAACCCUUCAAAGACACAGAACUAUAUUAUAUUAACACUAAUUACACAAAUAUAUACUACGAUCUAUGUCUCAACAUUUAAAAAUUGGGAAAAUUAUAUUUGUUCAUCAAAUGAAGAUCUUUUGUUCUAUAAAGCAAAUUAGAAUCUAGAAAUGACAGCUGAUUGCCAUAUACUUCUUCUUUAUUUUUCUUGAGUUUCUUUUCCUAACAUUUUGUAACCAGAUUCUUCACCCUAACCAUUUUUUUAAUGUUCUAUUGCAAGAACAAAAUUACAUUUAUUUAAAUGUGCAAAUAUUCCCAAGUCUUCUUUAUUGUUUAUUUUAAUAUUAUUAUUCGUACUCUGAAGGAUUUUUUUCUUUUAUGUUUAACAAUGCCCUUUCGAUGCAAGCAGUUAAGUUAUUUGCGAAAAAAUUGUCAUUUAUUUUAUUUAUAAUUUUGUUUUAACAAAGU
rnacentral:lncRNA from 1 species